rnacentral:lncRNA from 1 species
GAUUAGCAAUAAUUCUAUGUAAGUAAGUAAAAGCCAUCCUCUUCUCUGAUCUCCCCAUCUCCCUCUCCCCAACCUCAAAACAAAGAAAGAAAGCAGAGCAAGAGCUUAUUCAGCCAUGCUGGUCACCAUUUCACCUUCUGCAUCCUUUCUUUCAGUCAAGCUGCUUAAUAUGCCUCUUACUCAAAUACCCACUUCACCUUGUCGUGCAAAACUCAUUCGCACGCCAUCAAGAUUCAAUCUUUUCCGCUCCUCUGUUUCGGCGAAACAACCACUUCAGCCUGACGUGACCUCCACUGCCGCCUCCGCCGGUGUCGUCGUCGAGAAGAAGUUCGACUGGUACUCGCAGUGGUACCCGGUGAUGCCGGUGAGUGACUUGGACAAGAGGAUGUCGCACGGGAAGAAAGUGUUGGGGAUGGAUGUGGUGGUGUGGUGGGACCGGAGCGAGAAUGCAUGGAAGGUGUUCGACGAUAUGUGUCCUCACCGUUUGGCUCCGUUAUCGGAAGGAAGGAUCGAUCAGUCGGGGAGGCUGCAGUGUGUUUAUCAUGGAUGGUGCUUUGACGGCUCCGGCAGCUGCCAGCUCAUUCCUCAAUCGCCUCCUGAUGGCCCUCCUGUAUAUACAUACUCUGUUCUUUGUCUCUUAAUUAAUCACUAUAUGAUUUAAUUGCCAGAGAAUCGUUUGAUGAGGAAAAAAAAUGUGCAGGUUCAUGCCAACAAAAGGGCUUGUGUUGCAGUGUAUCCAACCAUAGUACACCAUGAUAUUGUCUGGUUUUGGUCGAAUUCCGAUCCUAGGUACAAAGACAUUUUUGAAACCAGAAAGCCUCCGUUUAUUCAUGAGUUGUAUGAUCCUUCCUUCACUACGAUAAACGGGAGUCGGGAUCUUCCUUAUGGGUAAGUUUCAUGUCUCUUUUGCCUCUAUCAUGUUUAUAAAUCGUUUGGGGAAAAGUUUUUUGUCAUUUACACACAAAUGUUUCGUUUGUAAGGAGAACAUAAAUUAUUCAUAUGGUUCACUUUUAUUUAUCUGUAUAUCCUUUUCGCAUACCUACUUUUUUACUAACAAAUCUUAACUUAAUCUCCCUUACUAUUCAAUCAUAUUUUUCAUGUAUUUUGAUUUGAUAAGUUUUAUGCGCGAAAAGAUAACAUUUCUUAAUGAUCAGACACCAACCUUUUUUCCAAUUGCUAGAAUCCAAGCAAGAAAUUAGAGUUAUCGGUCUAAUUAAUUUGUGGACUAGGACGUUCUUUUUAAAACGUUCAUGACACUGACUCGUGGUGCGCAUAGCAAACUAUCAACUCGUCUUUGUAAGAAAAACAUUAAGAACCGUCUUAAAAAUAAGGAGAUCUACGAAGAAAAUAAUUCAGGAAAUUUAUUAUAAACAAAUAUUUCCAUAAAGAUGUAGUCUCAAACCCGACGCAACCAUUCGCUAUCUCGACCAACCGACAUGCCGGUGUGUGCGCUUUCGAUAUCAUUUAAGUCCCUUUUUGCCAGAGCCUUUUCUUCCAUGUAUUGCUAUUUGAGACAUAUUUACAAACUUCACAUUUCCCCAACAUAAAUCAUAUCAUUAAUGAAAAAAAAACAUGUUGAGUAUUCAUUUUCACUGUUCUUAGGUAUGAAGUGUUGAUGGAGAACCUUAUGGAUCCUGCUCAUCUUCCCUAUGCACAUUAUAGUCUGAUGGAAAUGCAGCCUCCAGAGGGUUAAUUUUUCUAACUUCUGAUCAUAAACCCAUUUCCUUCCUAGAAAUUAAUGAAAGUUUUAACCUUUUUUGCUCUCCAGUAAAGCGUGACAAAGAAGGUGGUAAACCACUUAAUUUCACCGUGAAGAAGCUAGACAUAGAUGGGUUCGAUGCAGAGCUCGAUUUCGGCCAUAGUAAAUUCGCUCCACCCUGCAUCUUUUCCAUCCAUGCCGAACUACCUUCUGCUACCAAUAAGGUAAAUUUCAUUUGUGAUGUUAGCUUCUAAAAUUGUGUUCAACAUUUGAUAUGCUAAGGUAACAUUUGUGUAUGCAGCCAUCGAGGACAGCCGCGGUUUUCAUUUGUGUUCCAGUUAGUCCAGGGAACAGCAGACUAAUCUGGUCUUUUCCGAGGAACUUUAGUAUUUGGGUUGGUAAAGUUGUUCCUAGAUGGAUGAAUCAUAUGGUUACGAACCUGCUUCUCGAUUCGGAUUUAUAUCUCCUUCAUGCAGAGGUAAAUAUAAUUACUCAAAGAUUGAUUAAUAUUACUGAUCAAGAACAAUGUGAUGCCAGUGUUGGAUUGUUGGUGUUAACAGGAGCACAAGAUUAUGGAAAUUGGCCCGGAGAAUUGGCACAAGUUGUGUUUCGUGCCAACUAAAUCGGACGCUUUAGUGGUCGGUUUUCGAAGAUGGCUCAACAAAUACGCCGGUGGUGAAGUCGACUGGAGAGGCAAGUAUAGUGCUGGCGAUCUUCCUCCAACUGCCCCAAAAGAACAACUUAUGGAUAGGUAAUAAUAGUACAUACCUCAAAAGUCCCGAUUUUCAAAACUGUAGAACCGGUAAGGGUCAACGUUGUUGGUUUUUCAGGUACUGGACUCAUGUAGCGAACUGCAGCAGUUGCCGUGAAGCUUAUAAAAAUCUCAAUGCUCUCGAGACGGUUCUCCAAGUAGUUUCUGUUGGAUUAAUCGGGAUCGUUGUUGCAACCAGGCAAGGUACAUUGUCAACAGGAGCAAGAACCGGACUGGGAAUAUUGGCAACUAUUUCUUUUGCGGUUUCGAGAUGGUUGGCCUUUUUCGUCUACAACAACUUCCGUUACCAUGGCUACGACCACGGCCUUCCUGAAAAAGUCUUGUUAUUCGUUCGAAUAUGGAAAUUAGGGCUUUCUUUUUAGAUGGUUUUUUGCCAGGUGAUGUUAAUGCAACAAGCAAAUGGACAAAUUUCUGCAUACUUCACUUAAACACAUUGCAAGUCAAGAUAGUACUUUCGAAUCCGAUCGAAGCUGUGCUCGGGGCAAAAAUCUGAAACCGUCAGGCAAACGUAAUCAUGAGCUCAUCAUUCUAGACUUUGGAAUGCUGUGAUUACUAGUGCAAUGUCGUUUCCCCUGAUUCCAGGAAAUUUUAAAUUGUUGAUUCUAGAAGGUCGAAACUAAAGCACUCUGUUUUUUUUUCAGUAAGCGGUACUGUUGGGUGCAGGGGCUUCAUUGGUUCUAGAAACAUGACAUGUUCCUUACGUAUAACACCAAAUCUCAACAAUCAUCCACGUUCGUUUCAUAUCAGAAGAAAUCAUAGAAUACUCUGUGCAUUUUUCGUGUACUAUAUAAUACGCCCAUGAUUCAUUAAUAACGUUUAACCUACCAAGCGGGCACAAGGUACGUAUUUCGGAUCGAUGGCAUUGACUUGUGAUCAUACACCGACGUUUGAAAUUCGUAAUUAUUAUGAAACGAGUAGGCUAUGACACUCCUGAAUGAUGGAACCAAAUGAUAUUAAGUAAUAGUUUACUAUACGGCAUGAAGUCUUUGACGAAUUAAAAAUUUGUGAAUAGAAUAAACGUAUAAUAAUAAAACCAUGCUAAGUAAGACAAUCCUCUUCACCGAAGCAGAGCAAGAGCAGAUCAUCUAUGAGAACCAUCUCAACUUCUGCUUCCUUUCUUCCAUAUCUACCAAAACAAAGAUCAUCACUCACCACCAAUGGCGCCAAUUCACUCAAAUCUUCUAAUUAUUUCCCUUCUUCUCCAAUACCCAUUUCAUCUUUCCCUCCAAAACCAAUUCCCACACCAUCAAGGCUCAAUCUUUUAACCUCCUCUGUUUCGGCGAAAC